rnacentral:rRNA from 1 species
AGAGUUUGAUCAUGGCUCAGGACGAACGCUGGCGGCGUGCUUAACACAUGCAAGUCGAACGGAAAGGCCCCUUCGGGGGUACUCGAGUGGCGAACGGGUGAGUAACACGUGGGUGAUCUGCCCUGCACUUUGGGAUAAGCCUGGGAAACUGGGUCUGAUACCGAAUAGGACCGCAUGCUUCAUGGUGUGUGGUGGAAAGCUUUUGCGGUGUGGGAUGGGCCCGCGGCCUAUCAGCUUGUUGGUGGGGUAAUGGCCUACCAAGGCGACGACGGGUAGCCGGCCUGAGAGGGUGUCCGGCCACACUGGGACUGAGAUACGGCCCAGACUCCUACGGGAGGCAGCAGUGGGGAAUAUUGCACAAUGGGCGCAAGCCUGAUGCAGCGACGCCGCGUGGGGGAUGACGGCCUUCGGGUUGUAAACCUCUUUCAGUAUCGGCGAAGCUCCAGGAUUUUUCUUGGGGUGACGGUAGGUACAGAAGAAGCACCGGCCAACUACGUGCCAGCAGCCGCGGUAAUACGUAGGGUGCGAGCGUUGUCCGGAAUUACUGGGCGUAAAGAGCUCGUAGGUGGUUUGUCACGUUGUCUGUGAAAACUCACAGCUUAACUGUGGGCGUGCGGGCGAUACGGGCAGACUGGAGUACUGUAGGGGAGACUGGAAUUCCUGGUGUAGCGGUGGAAUGCGCAGAUAUCAGGAGGAACACCGGUGGCGAAGGCGGGUCUCCGGGCAGUAACUGACGCUGAGGAGCGAAAGCGUGGGGAGCGAACAGGAUUAGAUACCCUGGUAGUCCAA